GGAAUAUUGGACAAUGGGCGAAAGCCUGAUCCAGCCAUGCCGCGUGGAUGAAGAAGGCCCUAGGGUUGUAAAGUCCUUUCGGUGGUGAAGAUAAUGACGGUAACCACACAAGAAGCCCCGGCUAAUUUCGUGCCAGCAGCCGCGGUAAUACGAAAGGGGCUAGCGUUGUUCGGAAUUACUGGGCGUAAAGCGCACGUAGGCGGCCUUGUAAGUUGGGGGUGAAAUCCCGGAGCUCAACUCCGGAACUGCCUCCAAAACUACAAAGCUCGAGGAUGUGAGAGGAGAGUGGAAUUCCGAGUGUAGAGGUGAAAUUCGUAGAUAUUCGGAAGAACACCAGUGGCGAAGGCGACUCUCUGGCACAUUUCUGACGCUGAGGUGCGAAAGCGUGGGGAGCAAAC
rnacentral:rRNA from 1 species